rnacentral:lncRNA from 10 species
AUUUAUUGCAAGGGACAAUCAGGGUCAGCUAAUCCAGGACCUGUGGCGAGGCAUGCAGAGCACUGUGGCCAGGCUCUGCUCAUGGUACACACACCCCAGGGCCAUGGGCUUUUCACCCCAACCCCACCAAACUUGCUAAAAGUGUUAGAUCUAGUCUAGAAGCCUGAGGUAACUCCUAGAUGUAAAAUUCAGGAUAUAGGCCCAAGAAUUCCUGCAUCCCAGCAAGAAGGAAGCCAGACUGUCUGCUUUUACGAACUGAAUUGAGAAUUCACCUUUCCAGUGAGACUGAAGCUUUGCUGAAGAUUUAUCGCCCCCUGGAGGACAAUAGUAUAAUAUAUCUCUUCAGGUACUCUAGAAAAGAUGCCCAACUGAACUGAAAUACACAUUUUUUUCCUAAAGAAUAGGAAAAUCAAGCCUUUGCUAAGACAACCCUUUAAAAAGGCUAUGGCACCCGUUUGUGAUCAGAAUUGAGAAGAAGCACUCUUCCUGCCAGCUUGUGGGAAUGCUGUGUCCCCCAAGGCCAACAGUAUAUGCUGCCAAUGAGUGAAAAGAACUAAGACUCAAGUCUGCACAGAAAAAGGCUGAUCCCAGCUUGGCCCUUAAUUUUCCAAACCCUUGCAGAUGGAGAGCUACCUAUUUUGGGACUGUAAGGUUUUUGAAAUUAACUGUCAACUCAUUAUCCAAGGCACAUACUAUCUUACCUCUAUCUUACCUUCUAAAUAUUUUAAAUAACGCUUUUCUCAGCCUUCUCUUUUGGCAUCUCUUUCUUAACCCCAACCUUUUAAAUUCAGAAAUACCUAGGAAUUUUACUCUAAUUUUUGACAAUGUGCUUAUCUUUGAAGCAAGGAAAAUCGGAAAACAUGCCAACCCAACUGGAACAUUUUUAACAAAGUAAUGAAAAGUUAUGUAAUGGAAGAUUUAGCUUUCAAGAACACUUUGGCAAAUUGUAAUGCAAUGAUAUACAAAAUCUGCCAGGUGUCCAGGCAUCCAAAUGGCAGGAGUUCUCUGGAUCUGACCUCAAAAGCUAGGCCUGAAAUGAAUACAUUGUGGGUCUCUCUGGGGUUGGAACCAAAACCUCAUUUUUUUUUUUGUUUUAUUCUUUUUAUUUUCUUACAAAGAAGAGUUUGUAAAACAAAAGGCAAUCUGAAAUCUGGCUGUUGGUCCAAGAAUUAACAAGCAAUCUGUUGUGCUAAUGACAUCGACUGUUGAAUAGAUUUCCAAAGAAAAUGACCCAUGGGGAGUAGGAUGAGGUUAAUUCACAGAAAGCCGGCUUCCUUGGGAUUGUCUGCAUUUCUUCUGAAGGAAAAUGUCUGAAAGAUGCUGGUCUUCCCUCAAAGUCUUUCAUUCCCACAGACAGCCCUGCCAGUUCCUGGGCUCCCACAGGAGCCAACUGCUGUGAGAAGAGGUGAAUGAGAUACGAGAAAGGAAGAAGAAAAUCUCGGAAAAGUGUUGCCUGGAGUAAGUCUUUAGGAGGACAAACAGGACUGACUUAAACUGAUAUUUUCAGCACUUCACCAUUAACAAGACUUUUUAUAUUCACAUG